AUUGAACGCUGGCGGCAGGCCUAACACAUGCAAGUCGAACGGCAGCGGGGGAUAGCUUGCUAUCCUGCCGGCGAGUGGCGGACGGGUGAGUAAUGCCUGGGGAGCUGCCCAAUCGAGGGGGAUACCAACUGGAAACGGUUGCUAAUACCGCAUACGCCCUGCGGGGGAAAGGUGGGGACCUUCGGGCCUACCGCGAUUGGAUGCACCCAGGUGGGAUUAGCUGGUUGGUGAGGUAACGGCUCACCAAGGCGACGAUCUCUAGCUGGUCUGAGAGGAUGACCAGCCACACUGGAACUGAGACACGGUCCAGACUCCUACGGGAGGCAGCAGUGGGGAAUAUUGCACAAUGGGGGGAAACCCUGAUGCAGCCAUGCCGCGUGUGUGAAGAAGGCCUCGG
rnacentral:rRNA from 1 species